UCUGGCACCAUGCUCUAAUGUUUACGGUGACCGUGACCAGCACCCUGGCAUCGGUAGCGAUUUGGUUCAACCACACAACUUUUAUCCAGAAUCUGAGCCAGAGGGAGAGGCUGCUGAAGAAGUUCAAACUCUACAACUGCAGCAAGACGUUUCUGAAUGGUGCUGUGGAAACUGUGCAACCAUGCCCACAGAAGCUGAAAAUAUCUGCUGCUAGGAGAUACCACAGAAUUACCGUAUUUUCCGGACUAUAAGCCGCUACUUUUUUCCUGGGUUUUGAACCAUGCGGCUUAUAUACAGGUGCGGCUAUUCUGUGGAUUUUUCUUCCACCGCUAGGGGCGCUCUAACUGGAAUUAGAAUAAAAAAUAAGAUAGACGAAAAAUCAAUGCAAAGAAGAAUACGCCACUUUUUCUUUAGCAGAUAAAUUACCAACUGGUCAUUAUAAAAAUCCACCAUCACCAACGGGUUCCGAAAGGCUGGACUGCUACGCGAAGAGAGCGGCGCACCUUCAGGGUCAACUUCACCGGAGGAUGACAGUGACACGGAGAGCGAGACUGAUGGAGACAGAUGUGACGAAGCGCUUCUGAGGCUGUUCAACUCCGACACUGAAGAAGACGACUUCAUGGGUUUCAGCGAAGAGGAUUAAAGUGACUUGUGCUUUCAAACACAGGAGAAAUUAAAGUAAAUAAAUGCUGUUUUUUUUCUCUUGG